CCUGCCCGGCGGGCUAUUGGCCUCUUUGGAACCAAUAAGCUCCUUCGGAGUCCAUGGGGACUGAGUACCCUUUGAUGGUGGAGGGGGGAAGAAAAGGAAAUCUUCACAAGGCCAUGGUUGCUACCCAAAUAAUGGCAAAGGAAAAGGCAAACAAGACAAGAAGCAGGGCAAAUGCCUAUAGAAAAGCUAAACACAGUUGUCCCAGCCAAUCAUCAGCA